CCUCUGUGAAGCCCCUGCUUUCAGGGGUUAGUUCUAGAGUGGCCCAGCCCUGGGGCCUUCCCCUCUGUCAGGGGAAGUGACAUGGUGGCCACUGACGAGACUGUCUGUAUGUUCAGGUUGUGAAGGAGCUCCUGACCCAGGGAGCUGACCCCAACCUGCCCCUGACCAAAGGCUUGGGCAGUGCCCUGUGUGUUGCCUGUGACCUGACCUAUGAGCACCAGAGGAGCAUGGACAGCAAGCUGGCCCUGAUUGACCGACUCAUCAGUCACGGGGCCGACAUCCUGAAGCCC
rnacentral:sRNA from 1 species